CCAAAGCCAUAGAGGAACCCUGU
rnacentral:piRNA from 1 species